UGGUCCAUAGCCCUGGGAUGCUCCAUUUCGCCUGUGCUGUUGUCAGGACAUUGUCGUCCAGAAGCACUGGGUCUUUUCCUUACGGGCGUGAGAUGACUUCUGAGCCCAUCUCUGGACCUCUUCCUCGAGGACACUCGUUUUACUUUGAUCUCGGCACUCAUUGUCAAACCUGACUCUGUCUGACACCUAGCCUAAGCAUACCAGUCAUGUUGGCAUGCUAGUUAAAACAAUGUCUCAGAAGUAUCCCAGGCUCGUCUAAUGUAGUCCAGAAGAAGGAUGAAAUUCCAUUAUGGAUGGAGAAUCCAUAUGAACAACCACAGAAGGGCUGCAUUCUGUGACAUCACAGUGGACUUCCAAGAAUGUUCAGGUCUGUGGUAAGAAACAGAGGGAGAUUUCCAAAGCCAUAAAGCUCAUUCUAUGGGAUUCAUGUCUGGACCCACAUUAUUAAAGAUCCAAACACUUUCGACAACCAGCACUUGGAGUAACUGUCAGCCUGUAUUGGGGAACUAGUGUAGGAUAGAUACUGUAAUAAUUGUAUUAAAAUAAUUCUUAAUGUGGAAUAUUGCUUGUUAAUCUAGUCUUUGAGCUGCUAUGCUUAGGUUGAGCCAUGAAACCAAUAAUCGUAACUCACUACACGUGAAAAUAAUUUAAUGCAAUUAUGUACAAGUUCAAUAACAGCUUGAAUAUAAAAAAAUUGUUGAUAAACACUAAAGUUAUUAUAAUCAAGAAUUUGGACAGUCACUUCUAAAUAAAACAUGUUGCCCCUAAAAAUAAGCUAAGUGAAGGCAUCCCUGCAAACAUAUCAAGUUUUCAGUUAUUGAUAGAGGACUGUUACAGGGGAAUGUCACAGAAUUUCCUAUAAUCCAUAAACAGUGACCAUUCUUGAGUGGUCCAUUGGGUCCUCAGAAGACCGGGGAGUUGGAUACAUCUAAAUUAUUUCCGUUCUGAUUGGGUGG